rnacentral:lncRNA from 1 species
GGUCUCCUCGAACUAGACUGCUCCCCGCUAUUUUUUGCUGGUCUCUUCUUCUCUUUCUCCCUUUCCCAUAUUUCAGUCUACUCCUUCAUUACUGCCGUAUCUCUCCCAACCCAUAAAACCAUCUUAAUCACCUCACCCAAAGUUUGAAGGUGUUGCGGCUGUACAAACUGAGAAAUAUCUGGUCGUAGCCCUCUCUCAAAGAAAUAUGUCUUAUGCUGCUCAUCCCGUGCCACAAAAGGUACAAAAUUUAAAAUUUGAUAUUUUAAAUUAAAAAAUAAUUAAAAAAUUAAAAAUUAAAAAUUAAAAAUUAAAAAUAAUUAUGAAAUUUAAAAUUUAAAAUUUAAAAUUUAAAAAUUAAAAAUAUAAAUAAUUAUGAAAUUUAAAAUAUAAAAUUUUAAUAUAAAAUUUAAAUUUCAAACUUUAAAUUUAUAAUUUAAA